rnacentral:rRNA from 1 species
AGUGAACGGCUGGCGGCGUAGCCUAAUACAUGCAAGUCGAGCGAACCACUUCGGUGGUGAGCGGCGAACGGGUGAGUAACACGUAGGUGAUCUGCCCAUCAGACGGGGACAACGAUUGGAAACGAUCGCUAAUACCGGAUAGGACGAAAGUUUAAAGGUGCUUCUGGCACCGCUGAUGGAUGAGCCUGCGGCGCAUUAGCUAGUUGGUAGGGUAAAGGCCUACCAAGGCGACGAUGCGUAGCCGACCUGAGAGGGUGAACGGCCACACUGGGACUGAGACACGGCCCAGACUCCUACGGGAGGCAGCAGUAGGGAAUCUUCGGCAAUGGGCGAAAGCCUGACCGAGCAACGCCGCGUGAAUGAUGAAGGCCUUCGGGUUGUAAAAAUUCUGUUAUAAGGGAAGAACGACUUUAGUAGGAAAUGGCUAGAGUGUGACGGUACCUUAUGAGAAAGCCACGGCUAACUACGUG